UACGGGGGGAGCAAGCGUUGUUCGGAUUUACUGGGCGUAAAGAGCUCGUAGGUGGUUUGUCGCGUUGUUCGUGAAAACUCACAGCUCAACUGUGGGCGUGCGGGCGAUACGGGCAGACUGGAGUACUGCAGGGGAGACUGGAAUUCCUGGUGUAGCGGUGGAAUGCGCAGAUAUCAGGAGGAACACCGGUGGCGAAGGCGGGUCUCUGGGCAGUAACUGACGCUGAGGAGCGACAGCGUGGGGAGCAAACAGG
rnacentral:rRNA from 1 species